GGGGGCGAGAUGAAGUCAGAUACAGAAGAGGAGAAGGGCAGGGCUCGAUCCCUGAAAGGUUAGCCCCCUAACCAACGACAUCCUAAACGGAAACGACGUGGAGUAUAAAAAAAAGUCCUAAAUGGUCAGCCCCCUAAAGGAACGACUGCCUAACAGCAACUAAAAAACAUCGAUACCAAACGGGACAAACAGCAACAGGCCCACGGGGAACACAUGGUAACCACGGUCUAGUACUGCAGACACUUCAUAAACUACAACAGGAACUACUCCUAACGAAGUCCUCCUACGACGAAUGUAAGUCCUCGUGUCCUUACAACGGUUCUACAGCGUGAUGUUCUCCUAACUCGGACGAAACGACUGAAAACUCUCAUCUAGAAUACGACAAUAAAAAUUCGUACUUCGGGUAAUGAGGUUCAAGAUACCAAGACGGACCAAGCUUGAAUGGGUACUGAUACGAGAAACACGACCUCUAGCACACCAGAAGUGAGACCUGGUGAGACACAAACUAGACUUUCAUCUCUGAAUGGUACGACCCGUAUCCUAAGAAGGAAGAGGAACAACACCAUACAAAAACUAUAUAUCAAAAAAUGACGUUAUAACAGUAUCUAAAAAUGAUCUAACACCAAAACUUCCUUUAUACGGGAUCUCCGUUAUUAUUU
rnacentral:rRNA from 1 species